GCCCGCGUAGCGCAAUGGUAGCGCGUCAGACUUCUACGAUUAUCUCUCGAGCAUGAUCAAGUUAUCUGAAGGCUGCGGGUUCGACCCCCGCCGUGGGUU